AGUCGUACCCUGGUCUCCGUUGGUGAACCAGCGGAGGGAUCAUUACCGAGUUUACAACUCCCAAACCCCUGUGAACAUACCACUUGUUGCCUCGGCGGAUCAGCCCGCUCCCGGUAAAACGGGACGGCCCGCCAGAGGACCCCUAAACUCUGUUUCUAUAUGUAACUUCUGAGUAAAACCAUAAAUAAAUCAAAACUUUCAACAACGGAUCUCUUGGUUCUGGCAUCGAUGAAGAACGCAGCAAAAUGCGAUAAGUAAUGUGAAUUGCAGAAUUCAGUGAAUCAUCGAAUCUUUGAACGCACAUUGCGCCCGCCAGUAUUCUGGCGGGCAUGCCUGUUCGAGCGUCAUUUCAACCCUCAAGCACAGCUUGGUGUUGGGACUCGCGUUAAUUCGCGUUCCCCAAAUUGAUUGGCGGUCACGUCGAGCUUCCAUAGCGUAGUAGUAAAACCCUCGUUACUGGUAAUCGUCGCGGCCACGCCGUUAAACCCCAACUUCUGAAUGUUGACCUCGGAUCAGGUAGGAAUACCCGCUGAACUUAAGCAUAUCAAUAAGUCG
rnacentral:rRNA from 1 species